ACGCUCGACACCUACUGGAGGCAGCAGUGAGGAAUAUUGGUCAAUGGGCGCAGGCCUGAACCAGCCAAGUAGCGUGAAGGAUGACUGCCCUAUGGGUUGUAAACUUCUUUUAUAUGGGAAUAAAGUUUUCCACGUGUGGAAUUUUGUAUGUACCAUAUGAAUAAGGAUCGGCUAACUCCGUACCAGCAGCCGCGGUAAUCUGAGCGGGCUGGCAAGGC
rnacentral:rRNA from 1 species